UUUUGAAACAAAGUCUUGCUAAGUUGUGAAGUUGCCCAGGCUGGGUUCAAACUUGCAGCCUCCCAGAGUGCUAAAAUUACAGGUUUAUAACUGUCUGCUGGAGAAGGAAAUAAAAUCCUUUGGAGCUUAAGGGACCCUAUUCUGAGACUGCCAUGCAAUGGAGAAGCCCAGGAUGAAAGUGCAUUUGGAGAGAGAGGCCCAGCCAUCCAGCCUUCUCAGCUGAACCCAGUCUCCAGCUGACCCACUAGCUGAGCGCCUCUCUGCCUAAGUGGAUCUCUGCAGGUGAGACUUAGCUUAGCGGAAAAAUACCUGACCAACUUUUACAAUUGUGAAUAAUAAUGCGUCAUUAUUUAAUCCAUUAAGUUUUAGGAUGGUGAAUUCUCCCUCCUUCUCUUCCUCCCCG
ensembl:lncRNA